rnacentral:rRNA from 1 species
UCCUACGGGAGGCAGCAGUGGGGAAUAUUGCACAAUGGACGCAAGUCUGAUGCAGCGACGCCGCGUGGGGGAUGAAGGCUUUCGGGUUGUAAACUCCUUUCAGUACAGAAGAAGCAUUUUUGUGACGGUAUGUGCAGAAGAAGCGCCGGCUAACUACGUGCCAGCAGCCGCGGUAAUACGUAGGGCGCGAGCGUUGUCCGGAAUUAUUGGGCGUAAAGAGCUCGUAGGCGGUUUGUUGCGCCUGCUGUGAAAGACCGGGGCUUAACUUCGGGGUUGCAGUGGGUACGGGCAGACUAGAGUGUGGUAAGGGUAAUUGGAAUUCCUGGUGUAGCGGUGGAAUGCGCAGAUAUCAGGAGGAACACCGAUGGCGAAGGCAGGUUACUGGGCCAUUACUGACGCUGAGGAGCGAAAGCGUGGGUAGCGAACAGGAUUAGAUACCCUGGUAGUCC